ensembl:lncRNA novel transcript
GCGACUUGGCGGCGGGUGCCAUGCGUCUGGAGCUUCACAUUCUCUGCCCCCCACCCACCGCGCCGGCGCUCCCUUGUCACGCCUCGGGAAGCGCGCACCUGCCAAGCAGGAUGAAUAAUCUGAUAUCAUGUGAAAUGAGGAAAUAAGAAGCUUUCUGCUGACUUCAUUUUGACCCAGGGUCCAAAAGGUGAUGUAAUCCUGUGGCAAGAAGAUUCAAAACUGUGGACUAUCUUGCAAAAAAUACAAGAAGAUAUUGAAAGUUUUCAUGAGUGCCUACCACCUAAUCUCAAACACUAUCAUUCAUAUGUGCCUCAUUGAGCAAAUCUUUAAUGAGGAUCUAUAUGCCAGAUAAUGUAGGCAUUGUUCCUAAGUCAUGCAGAGGGGUUGUGUAAGCAUGGUCAUUUGCAUCAUUAUCCUGCACGUCUGAUACAGCCAAACUCCACGCCACCUGGUUUGCUCAAUAUCUUUUGCUUGGGAGCAGAAACAGAAAGUACAUGAUGGACUUCAUUGAAGGAUGGAGAUUUGGAAGACAUGAAUGGAUGAAGAACCAAACGGAGUCUCGCUCUGUUGCCCAGGCUGUAGUUCAGUGGUGCAAUCUCAGCUCACUGCAAGCUCUGCCUCCCGGGUUCAUGCCAUUCUUCUGCCUCAGCCUCCCGAGUAGCUGGGACUACAAGCGCCUGCUACCACGCCUGGCUAAUUUUUUGUAUUUUUUAGUAGAGACGGAGUUUCACCAUGUUAGCCAGGAUGGUCUCGAUCUCCUGACCUUGUGAUCCACCCAUCUCGGCCUCCCAAAGUGCUAGGAUUACAGGCAUGAGCCACCACGCCCAGCCAACUUAUAACUUUUAUAUCAUUAGACACAUGGAAUAUGGGCCUCCGUUUGUACUCUUGCCCUUGGCCCCACAAACGUUAGGGAGAGGCCUGGCUCCUGCAAUGUACUAUUUACCUGUUGUAAAGAAUAGCCCUUCAAAAGUAUUAUUCUAAGUCUGUUUGACAUAAUAGGUCCAAAUUGUAUUACAACAUGGUAAAAAAACAACAAUCCAUUAACAAUCCUCUUUGGAUUUCUAAAAAAGUUUUGGUAGCCUAAACUCUUUCCCCAAUUUUUGAUAUCACUUCAUGUCAUUUUAGAGAGUAAGUUUUCCUGUUUUAUUAAUGUUUAUAUUUAAGCUGAAUUUUCUAAAAGAAUUGUGAGUGUUUUUAUUCUAUUGUGACAUUCAAGGUACGCAGCUGACCCUUGAGUAUAAGUCCCAUCAACUAAGUAAACAUCAAACAUAUCUUCAGUACAUCCCUUUAGAUCUUGACAGUUAUUUAUCACUUUUUCAUAAGUUCCAAAGUUCCAGAUGGUUACUGAUACAUUCAGGCUGACCACUGCUAGAUUUGAGACUUGUCCCACAGAUCUGCACUGUAUCUUCAUACCUUCAUUAAUAGAUCUUUUAUUCUUUUUUUUUUUAAUUUUUUUGGAGACGUGGGUCUCAUUAUGUUGCCCAGGCUGGUCUUGAACUUCUGGCCUCAAGUGAUCCUCCCAACUCAGCCUCCCAAAGUAUUGGAAUUAUAGGUGUGAGCCACUACACCCAGCCUAGAUCUCAAUCAGGUGACACUGAAAAUGUUUGGUCAUAAACCACAGUGAAGGAAGGGGAGGCAGCUGUUAGAUCAUCUGCCUUGACCCACAGUCCUCAUCCAUUUGCACCUUGGCAAGCCCUCUACUACAUCUGAAUCUCGAAAUGGGGGAUAACCUCUUGGGAGAGUCUAUGCUAGUACCCUUCUAGUAGUAGUUUACAAUCUGCCAACAAAUCUUGAAGCCUUAUUUGGUUGAUAUCAAUUUGAGAGGUGGGAGGUUCAGUUUCCAAAGAGUCAGGAAAGAGCAUUCAUCUAGGCUUGAGAAGCCUCCAUUUCCUAACUCAAGAGUUCUGAUUAGGUUGUUGGUUGAGUGACACAAGGCAAUCAUCUCACUUUUCUGUUCCUGAGCUUCUCCUUUUAUAGAAUGUGGGCAGGAGUGUGGAGAGGGAGAAUUUAUUUCAUUUCCUGUUUUCCAAACUUACUAAACUGUGGAAACUUUUUCUUUUGCAGCAUUGGGCAAAACUGAUGUUCUAAGGAACAUUCUUUAGGAAAGGUUAGCCAGAUCCGUGGUUCUCAACAGGCAUGUGGUACACAUUUAAUAAUGUCUGGAGACGUUUUUGGUUGUCACAACUGGGGAUCCAGGGAUGCUGCUAAACAUCCUGCAAUGCCUAGGACAGCCCUCCACAACGGAGAAUUAUCCAACUCAAAAUGCCAAUCAUUCUAAGGGGUUGAAAAACUCUGGACUAUAUGAACUAUCUCAAUUCUCUUUCAACACUAACAUUUAAAUGUGGUGUUUCUUGUUUUUUAAACACACAAAAUUUUAUUUCUGUUUUACACAAAGUCAGCUAUGGGUAUGGAUGAAUCUGCGGACAGUUUUCUUCCAUGUGUUGGCUCCAUAUUUCAGCUGCUUUGAUCUUUUUGACAUCUUAUCAAUGUGUUCUUCUAUGAUUUCCUUGGCAGAGAAAGAGAAAGCAGAGAGAAUCAUGUGCUGGAUCUUAAAUGCUUCUACGUGGAUGUAGUAAAUGUCUCUUCUACUUUUUUUAAAUAAGAAGUGUAUUAAAAUAUAAUCCAUGUAUCAUAUAAUUUACUCAUUUAAGGCAUAAAAUUCGGCUGGGUAUGGUGGCUCACACCUGUAAUCCCAGCACUUUGGGAGGUUGAGGUGGGGUGAAUCUCUUGAGCCCAGGAGUUUGAGACCAGACUGGGCAACAUGGCAAAACCCCAUCUCUACAAAAAAUACAAAAAUUAGCCAGGUGUGGUGGCACGCACCUGUAAUCCCAGCUAUUUGGGAGGUUGAGGUGGGAGUAUUGCUUGAGUUUUGAAGGCAGAGGUUGCAGUGAGCCAAGAUUGUGCCACUGCACUCCAGCCAGGGUGACAGAGUGAGACUGUCUCAAAAAAAAUUUUUCAGCUAAAAUAAAGUGUAAAACUCUGUAGUUUUUAGUGUAUCCACAAAAUGUGUGCAAUCGUCUCUACACUCAAUUUUAGAACAUUUGAAUCACCCCCAGAAGAAACACUGUACCUAUUAACAGCCAUUCCCAAUUUUCCCUCAACACCUCCACCUCAGCCCUAGGCAACCACUAACCUAUUUUCUAUCUCUAUAGGUUUACCUAUACUGGAUAUUACAUAUAAAUGGAAUCAUGUCCUUUGUAACUGUCUUCUUUCACUUUGCAUAAUGUUUUCAAGGUUCAUUCAUGUUGCAUCCUUCUCAAUAUUUCAUUUUUAUUGCUGAAUAAUAUUCCAUUGUAUGAAUAUAACACAUUUUAUUUAUCCAUUCAUCGCUUGAUGGAUAUAUGAGCCAUUUCUACUUUUUAGAUAUUCUGAAUAAUGCUGCUAUGAAUACUUAUAUGCAAGUUUUUACAUGGACGUAUGUCUUCAUUUCUCUUAGGUUAUAUAUCUAAGAAAGGAAUUACUGAAUCAUACGAUAACUUUAUGCUUAGACUUUUGAGAAACUGCCAGACUGCUCUCCAAAAUGACUGUGCCAUUUUACAUUCCCAAAAGUAAUGUAUGAAGUUUCUAAUUUUUCCACACCCUCACCAACACUUAUUAUCUGUGUUUUUGAUUCUUGCCAUCCUAGUGUGUGUGAAGUAGUUUCUCACUGUGAUUUGUAUUUGAAUCUUCUUGAAGGCUAAUGAUUUUGAGCAUCUUUUCAUGUGCUUAUCGUCUCUUCUUUAUAUAGAUGUCUAUUCAGGUCCUUGGCCCAUUUUUAAUUUGGGCUAUUUGUCUUUUCAUUACUGAGUUUUAAGAAUAAUUUUUGUUUAUUCUAGACACACAUCCCAUAUUAGAUAGGUGAUUUGCAACUAUUUCCUCCCAUUCUGUAGGUUUCUUGCUGGUGUCCUUUUAGGAAUAGAAGUUUUACGUUUUGAUGAAGUCAAGUGUGUAUGUUUUCUUUUGUUGCUUGUGUGUUUGAUCUCAUAUCAAAAAACCAUUGCACAAUCCAAGGCCACAAAGAGUUAUGUCUAUGUUUUCUAGAUUUUUAUCAUUUUAGUGCUUACAUUUAGGUCUUUGAUCUUUUUGUGUUAAUUUUUUAUAUUGGGUGUGAGGUAAAAAUCCAACUUCAUUCUUUUGCAUGUGAUAUCCAAUUAUCCAGAACCACUUGUUGAGAAGGCUAGUUCUUCCUCACUGGAUUAUCUUGGCACCCUUGUCAAAAAUAAGUUGACUGUAGAUGUGAAGGUGUAUGAGUUGCUAAAAUACCUCUUCUGUGAUAUUUAUAAUUUAUUUUCUAAAAGGAUAAGUUAUAGGUCACAUCUCAGAUUACAAUGAUUCAAGUCAAAAAGUUCAAAGUAGAAUUUACUUUCAAAAUUGUUUGUUCCCCCAGAGCUAGUUAAUGCCCCCAGAGCUAGUUAAUAAACUCUAUUUGCAGAUAAAAGCAUGCUUUCCCUUCAAAGGUAUUUCACCAAGACGGGAAACACAAAACUAAAUAAGCUGGGAAACUGAGGAUACACAGAGGGUCUCCUUAAUCUCUGGAUAUGUGGUCUAAUGUAUCCUUUUUGUGCUCAUUUUUUCCCUUUUAUCCAGAAAUACAACAUUACCUUUUUAUAAAAUUCCUGGAGAUUGAUCAUAUCUCUAGUGUUUGGGUCUAGAAUGUAUUUUUUGGCCAAAACAUCUCUUUACCCCACUUCCACAUGUGGAAAGAAAGAAAACAUGGUACUCUAAUCUCACAAGUGAGGCAUGGGGUUGUUUCCUGAAAUGAGGCAAGGACUUUGGACAAGAACAUGUUUGGACUUGAGAUGGUUUUUGUAAACCCAAAUGAUAUUAGUUCUAGUCUGUCUUUAUCGCUCACUGUAUUUUGUUUUCAUUCAUACUAAUGAAUAAUAGACUUGAUUGUGUUCCAUCAUUUAUGUCAUUAAUAUUUCCUUUAUGUUUGAGUGCUGUGCAGUUCUCCUUGAAACUUGUAUGGAGAUUGAACUUGAUAGUGAUUUAAAGUAAUUAAUUCAUAUGUCAGUUGUUAGCAAGGUCUAGUAAUUAAAAUCUACUUUAGAGUAAGUUAUUAACUCUCCAAAAUAAAAACACUUUAUCAACUUAC